GUGCGAAGGUAGCAUAAUCACUUGUUCUUUAAAUGAGGACUCGUAUCAACGGCACUACGAGGGCUAUACUGUCUCCUUUUUCCAAUCAGUGAAACUGAUCUCCCCGUGAAGAAGCGGGGAUCAAAAUAUAAGACGAGAAGACCCCAUGGAGCUUUAAACUCACCACGCACCUCUGUGCCCCCACACCCUCAAACACAAGAGAUCUGCAUGCUAGUUUUAGGUUGGGGGGACCACGGAGUAUAAUUCAACCUCCAUAACAAAUGGGCUAACACCCUUAUCCACGAGACACAACUCUAAGAAUUACUAAACUAAUGCUUAUGACCCGAUAUUCGAUCAAUGAACCAAGUUACCCUGGGGAUAACAGCGCAAUCUACUUCAAGAGCCCAUAUCGACAAGUAGGUUUACGACCUCGAUGUUGGAUCAGGGUAU
rnacentral:rRNA from 1 species